GAAAGGUUAAAGAAAAGAAAAUUGUAGUAGAAUCCUGCAAUUGUUGACGAAACUCGUUAAGAAUAUAAUUGAGAAAAAAAUAUACAUGAUGAGGAUGAAUUCUCAGUGUUCUAAGAGUAGAAAGUCCCUCUAGACAAUUUUUAAUGACUCAAAACUAGAUACAUUGUUGAUAAUUUAAAAUUACAACACAAUGAGAUCCCUAUGGACCCUCAAAUGUACACAAAUAACUCAGCCAAUAGUCCCAAGAAGGCCAUGCAGUGUGAGAAAAAUCAUUUUGUUUCCCCCUGCUAUUUUACCAUUUCAGCUCAAGGAACUUGUCUCUGGAAUCAGAAGGAAGCAGAAAUCAUCCCCUUUGAAUAGGAGCUCUACACUGCAAUGAUGGGCAUCACACUAACUAAGGCAUCCUUGGUCUCUCAAAGCCCAACCCAUUUCACCCAUCUGAAAACCCGGCCAACUCUGAAGGGCAACUCAUAGUCUUUGGUAACGGCAGGCUCCCUCCUUGCUGCCUCUGUGUCGGACCAUUCGUACACUCCACGCUCUUGUUGACUGCCAGGUACAGUGUUGUCCAGGAUAACAGCCACCAGGAAUGCAAUCACCAUAUGUAAGGAUAAUAACGUGUUUAAAAGGUAGUUCAACCCUCCAUAUUUGCUGCGGAAUGGUCCAUGAGAGGCAACGAUAUAAGGCUGAAAAUAACUUGGAACAGACACAUUACUAUUUGGGGAGAUGCCAUAUUGCUGAAAAUAUGCAGGUACUGAAAGUGAAAAAAAUAAAGAUAACCCAACUAUGAUGAUAUUCCGAGAGCUUCCAGCCUCGCUAUACCGUAGAUUUGACAAUCCUAGUGCAGCAAGCAUUGCCCACAUGAAGCAAAGGAGAGCAGCAACCAUUACUUCAGGAAUUGAAGCAAUAAAGCCUCCAACUUUACCUGCUAUGUAACACAUCAUUAGGAAGAAGUUAAAGGAACAACAAUAAUAGGAUAAGAAAAGAAACAUGAAGAUUCUGCGCUAAGUUGUUAUGUUUUAUUUCCAUUAAUAAAAUUCCUUAUUCAACAAACUGUCAUACCGAGAUUUAAAAACAGGCACUCUAAUGAGAAUUUACAAGAUUAACGAGAACAAGUACUGCUCCAACCCCAACUACCAUCCCAUCCCCCUCCCCCCUUGCUCUCCAAAAAUAACUACAUAAAUAUAUCCAGAAUUAUUAACAAGGCAGAGAAUAUUAGAGAUGUUAUUGAGAGUAGUGUUGGACAAAACAUUUUGUCAAAUGCAAGUACCCAAUUUCAAAUGCUGCGAAGGAAUUUAACAGGAUAUCCCUGGUACAAUGCAGAUGCGAUGUCUGGUCUGCCGUUUUGCAAAUUACAUACUUUCUAGCAUUCAAACCAUGAUGCAAGAGGAAAUAGAUAUCAAGUUGUUGUGCUUAGAUAAGUGCAUUUAUAGAAUAAAACAUGAUUAACACUUACCUACAAGGGAUAAGAGAAUCAGAACACAUGCACCUAUUUCAACUGCUCUACGGCUUCCCAUUUUUGUCACAGCAAUAGUAUGCACAUUCUCAGUUAGAGUUGUGGAGCCAGUUCCAGUACCCCAAAGACCAGCCAAGACACUAGAAAGCCCUUCAAGGCCAAUCCCUCUACUAAGAACACCUCUGGUUGGAGGUCUAGAUGCCACCAACAAUGAUGACGCAUGAUAUGAUCCAACCGAAUCCACAGAUGCGAUAAUGGACACCACACACAUAACAAGGGCCAUUUUCCACUCAAAGACAGGAGUACCCCAUUGUAAGGGAUAAGGAAACCUAAACCAAGGGGAAGAUUUCAAUGCAUGAGAAGUAUCAACUCGACAGUGCUUCAUCCUGGAAACAUGCUUUCUGCAGUGGUCAGAUAUAAUAUUUGAUGCUGGAAUAUUCGGAUCACAACCUUUGUAACUAUAGGCUCCUGCUUCAGUCAGAAGGAAAGCAGCUGCCCAUGUGAUCGCUAGACCCAGUGGAACAUUCCACCAGCAAGUCCAUGUAGUUUGUCCCACUUGGGUUGCCUAAUGGGCCAUUUACAUUUUUUGCUUGUUUUGUUGGUCCGCAUAAAUGAGAAAAACACGAUGACCAAAAACAGAUAUCUUACGAAGAUAAAGAGAAAAAAUAAUAACCAGUAGUAUCUGAACCACACCAAUCUCAAGACAGUUUCCAACCAGUGGAAAACCAUAACUAUAAAAUGAAAGUCCAACAGCAGCAAUGGUUGGGGCAACAACCACUGGAUUGAUCAACCUCAAAAAUACAGACAUCAAUCCGCUAUAUCCAAGAAAUGCUUGGAAAGCUGAAGCAAUAAUUAUAGCCCCUUGUAGUCUCUUCAUAAUAUGUUUGAAAUUAUUUCCACUUAAUCCUUGGAACUCUGAAGAAUUUAUUAUUGCUAAUGCUGGAGCAAGAUAAACAAAUGAUGGGCCUUGUAUCAAAGGCAACCUUGACCCAAACGAUGUAUGCAAAAGUGUUGUCACUCCUGAAAUGAAAAGCACCGUUGACACCACCAUUGAAGUGUCCUCAUAAGAGCCCCCCAUUGCAGGAACAAUGACGAGAGGAAUGAGAAUCAAUGAACCUAAUAUCGAAAGGUAAUGCUGGAACCCAUAUAGACCAAUGGGAACAAGUCCUGGUGUAUCUCUUAGCUCAUAUUUCAUAUGGGAAUGCCUUCCCACAAACCCAUUAUCCUCCACAGUUUGUGGUAACACAUCAACCACUUCCUCAUUUCUUGCGGCUCUUCUCGUACCCUCCGUGGGGGCCGCCGGACCCUGUCCAUUAGGUCCAUGACCCGACUCUUUCUUAGAAGCCCCACCACCAUCAGAGUCUCUCCUCCUCUUCACCGUCUGAUCUUUAUUCUCAGUUGGCACUGCUGUUUCAGUACCAUUCACAGCAGCCGGAGAUGGUUUCGUAUUCGUAGUCGUCGUCGUCGUGGGAGCUGGUCUCGCUCGACCAGCUUCAAGAUCCGGCUGAUUAUCGGACUGCUCUCUGGGCUUCGGAGGAAGGGAAAUCUGACCGGAAUCACUAGCAUUAGUCUCUCCGGAGAACUUAGGUCGGAACCCAGUUCGCUUAGCCCAAGAGGAAGGCGGUAAUGGGGAGGAUUCAGGCGCAGGUAGCCAUGGACCAGGCUUGGAACGGGUUUUGGGGUCGGAGUUAGACAUUUUUAUACUAAUGAAUUCCAGAGAGUCUCCUGGAAGUGCAUAAUAGGGGUAAUGCAGAGCAGAUCUAAGAUGAAAAGCUAGGGUUUUAAGAGCUCCAUAGGGUUUUUGAAGAGAUAAAAGAGCAGUCUUUCUUAGAGAGAGAAAGAGUGAAGCUAGUUCACCUAAGAAGAGUGAAAGAGUGUGAGAGUGAGAGAUUUAGAGAGAGAGA
rnacentral:misc_RNA from 1 species